AGGGGUUUCGACUUGACUCCGACAGGGCGGUAGCUCGAUCGGAGAUUCGGCUAUGACGGCCGACCACAUAAGCUGGCCGGCGAUGAGAUUCGACCGGCAAGCUUUCCUUCUUUUUUUUUAAUUUUUUAAAAAAUAGAGGAUCCAUCCUCUUUCUUCAUGAUUUUCGGCCAUUGGCCGGUCGCCGGCAACCAAGCACUCAAGGGAAGAGAGAGAUAAAGGGAAAAGAGUCCUAUCCUAGGGGUGAG
rnacentral:lncRNA from 1 species